UCUCCUAGUAACUGCGAGUGAACGGAGAAAAGCCCAGCGCUGAAUCCUAUAGCUGGUAACGGUUAUGGGAGCUGUAGCGUGAAGAAGGUGUACAACCGUUGCAGUCAACACACGUAAGUCUCCCUGAGUGGAGCUCCAUCCCAAGGAGGGUGCAAGGCCCGUAUCGUGUUUGACGCGUGAUGGUAUAGCAUCUUCAGAGAGUCGGGUUGUUUGGGAUUGCAACCUAAAGCCGGUGGUAAACUCCAUCGAAGGCUAAAUAUGACCACGAGUCCGAUAGCGAACAAGUACCGUGAGGGAAAAUUGAAAAGCACUUUGAAGAGAGAGCGAAAUAGUGCGUGAAACCGCUUAGAGGCAAGCAGAUGGGGCCUCGAAGGUAGAGCAGCGAAUUCAGCUUGCAUUUUUGCUAGACUACUGUCGGCGUAGAGAUCGUAAGACUCUUGUCGAUGUAGGGUGUAUAGUAGAAUGUGAGUGCACUUUCGCUGUUUGUACGCCACCGCUGUUAAGUGUAUGCGCAUCCGCUGUGGUUUCGCGUGAGGCCUUGAGUGGCUUGCUACUCAAGUAACCUACGCUUGGCCGUAUGCAGCGCGUUUGCCUCUUAACUGGUCRAGUCAUUCUUGUGCCGGUCUUCUUUCKGGAAUGCAUAAUAAGCCGCUUUCUUGAAUGUGGCCGCYYACUGGUAGUUGACGUGCUUGCUUGCCUCACCCGCUGGUGGUGUAUUGCGUUGGCCUUGCUUGGCAUAUCGUAUAUUUGGUGGCG
rnacentral:rRNA from 1 species